UUAUAAAAAUAAAAUUUUAUUUUUACAGUGAAAAUGUAAGGUUUUAAUUAAACUAUAUAAACAGAAAU
rnacentral:tRNA from 1 species